AACGAACGCUGGCGGCAUGCCUAACACAUGCAAGUCGAACGAGACCUUCGGGUCUAGUGGCGCACGGGUGCGUAACGCGUGGGAACCUGCCCUUAGGUUCGGAAUAACUCCCCGAAAGGGGUGCUAAUACCGGAUAAUGUCUUCGGACCAAAGAUUUAUCGCCUUUGGAUGGGGCCGCGUUGGAUUAGCUAGUUGGUAGGGUAAAAGCCUACCAAGGGGACGUUCCAUAGCUGGGCUGAGAGGAUGAUCAGCCACACUGGGACUGAGACACGGCCCAGACUCCUACGGGAAGCAGCAGGGGGGAAUAAUGGACAAUGGGCGAGAGCCUGAUCCAGCAAUGCCGGGGGAGUGAUGAAGGGCUUAGGGGUGGAAAGCUCUUUUACCCGGGACGAUAAUGACAGUACCGGGAGAAUAAGCCCCGGCUAACUCCGUG
rnacentral:rRNA from 1 species